UGCCCUUGGAUACAGUCGGAGACAA
rnacentral:miRNA from 1 species